UACGUAGGGUGCAAGCGUUAAUCGGAAUUACUGGGCGUAAAGCGUGCGCAGGCGGUUCUAUAAGGCAGAUGUGAAAUCCCCGGGCUCAACCUGGGAACUGCAUUUGUGACUGUAGAGCUGGAGUACGGUAGAGGGGGAUGGAAUUCCGCGUGUAGCAGUGAAAUGCGUAGAUAUGCGGAGGAACACCGAUGGCGAAGGCAAUCCUCUGGACCUGUACUGACGCUCAUGCACGAAAGCGUGGGGAGCAAACAGG
rnacentral:rRNA from 1 species